rnacentral:tRNA from 1 species
GCCGGUAUAGCUCAGUAGGUAGAGCAACUGACUUGUAAUCAGUAGGUCCCGAGUUCGAUUCUUGGUGCCGGCACCA